AACGCGAUCGUUCGGGUCGAAUGUGUCUAUGUGUGCGUGAAACCAUAUUUACACUUCUACUGCAAGUGGGUACGUAAGUGGGGCCAUAUGUGUACGACACGAUCCCAUACAAAACUUCGGCUUUUGCGGACUGGGAAUGAUGAACGAGUGUGCUGUAAGAAUAACACACACGCACGCACAAGGCGACACCCGAAAUCUGGUGCGAUACCGGCUUUCAGUGGAGCAAGUACACACAUGCACACAUUUGGCCACACCAGCGCUCUGUUCUAGUGCAGGUAGUUUUCUGCAGUCCACGGUGAUGCUACACACAGCCACGCACUUGGCGAUACACGCUGUGUGGUGCGGUGCGGUGGACGUUCAGAAUUCAGUGGUGCAAAUACACACAUGCAUACACUUGGCGACACACGCUCUGCUGUGCGGUGAGGUUUGUGUUCUGUGUCCAGUGGUGCAAAUAUACACACACACACGUACUUGGCUACACACGCAGUACGGCGCGGUUGGCUUGGCAGAAGCGCAUACACACAUUCACGCAGUAGGCUUUACUUUCAGUCCAGUGAGGUUGGUGCUUGUGUGGUGUUUCAGCGCUUGGUAGUCAGCGGAUAAACCCCGUAAAAAAUAGAGUUUUGUUUAAUUUGAGGUAAGUAAAAGUGAUUAAAAUUAUCAACCAACAUCCCCCCUUCUAAUUAAUAUCAUUUUUCUUCCAUUUCAUGUGUGUUUCACGGCGAACGGAGACAACAAAACCUGUGGCAGUGUCGUGGUGUUGGAGAUGGUGGCCCGUACAGUGCAGCGAGAAGAACUAGGCGCGACAGCGAUGUGGAGCAGAAAGUGCUGUGUUGAUUUUAAUUUUUCUUUGUGCGAGUGUAAAAAGUGUUUUUUUAUUAUGUGCAUUAAUUUAGAAUUAAGUGCAGUGAUAAUAAUGGAUGCACAAUAGUGCAUGUGUUGUGUGUGUUUUUUUUUGUAUUCUAUGUUGGUUCGAUAUCCAAUAAAUCGAAUCAUGUUGAUAUAAUGGUCCGCACUGUAUCAUUUUGGAAAGAAAUCCUGGCAAAAAAGGGGGAGGGGACUAAUUAAACGAAGGUUCGUGCAGACCCCCGUUCGGGUUUUGCUUCGGCUUCGGGUUUGCUUCGGCUUCGGGACCCGACGGAUCGGUUGAAUAAUCCCAAGUAGCAGAGCCGAAGUUUUUCAAAGAUUUUUCUGUGUGCCAAAGCGAGAUGCCCUGUCUUCUCUCUCCAGAUUUUGGACAGCAAACCGCCGCGCGUAUAGAGGUGUGUGCGUGUGACGAAAAACGAUGGAUGAAAAACGCGAGGAGCGGGAUCCGAAGUCUUUCGUUGGUCACACACACAUGCAUCUACCGUUGGAUUGCGCUACACCGAGUCUACCCAUCUCUCUCGAUCUACCAUGAUUUUUUUCUGCUAUCGCACUCAUCCGGGAGUUAGGCAUCCUCAGUCUGCCCAGAACUUUCGUUGUGGAAGGAUGUGCGGGAGUGAUGUGCGAUUUCUUGUGUCCCCUACUUUCCUUGUUUACGUUUUGCGCAGUGUUGCUUCUUCUUCCAUUGCGGAAUGAUUUAUCCUAGCUAACUUGCUGAGUUACAGGUGCAUGCGCCAUUCAUCAACGCCUACCUGUUGGCAUCAUCAACAAUCUUCAAAGUGGGUGACGGAAAGAAAUUGUUUUCCAGUUUUAAAAUAUUAAGCGUUCAGCACAACUCAGCCACAAAACUACGCACUGGAUUGCGCUAAGAACCUGUCGAAACGCGCGCAGCCCCCGGGAGCGGUAGGAGAAAGGAAGAACGAGAGGAGGAAAAACUAAAGCCAGCGCGCAGCUCUGAUGGUACCCCGUACGCGGUAAGAAGAAAAAAGAUCGAGAGGAGGAAGAACGGUAAAUUUGGAAGGGGGAGACCGUUCUGCCGUCUCCACAGUGCGAGUAUGCCAAAGCACGUGUUGGAAGGGAGAGAAAAAGUGUGGAAUAAACUACAUGCGAAUGUGUGCAUACAGCAAAAGUAAA